rnacentral:pre_miRNA from 1 species
AGAAGGAUAGCUGGGUCAAAUCGUGGUUCCAUUCCCAGAUUUCCAAGGAAUAUCCAUACUGCUUUCCAUAUUGGCUGCACCAAUUUGCAGUCCCACCAGCAGU